rnacentral:rRNA from 1 species
UACGUAGGUGGCGAGCGUUGUCCGGAAUAACUGGGCGUAAAGGGAGCGUAGGUGGUAUGGUAAGUUAGAUGUGAAAGCCCAAGGCUCAACUUUGGAAUAGCAUCUAAAACUAUCAAACUAGAGUGCAGGAGGGGUAAACGGAAUUCCUAGUGUAGCGGUGAAAUGCGUAGAUAUUAGGAGGAACACCAGUGGCGAAGGCGGCUUACUGGACAGUAACUGACGUUGAGGCUCGAAAGCGUGGGGAGCAAACAGG